AGUGGACGCUGGCGGUAGGCCUAACACAUGCAAGUCGAACGGCAGCACAGUAAGAGCUUGCUCUUACGGGUGGCGAGUGGCGGACGGGUGAGGAAUACAUCGGAAUCUACUUUUUCGUGGGGGAUAACGUAGGGAAACUUACGCUAAUACCGCAUACGACCUACGGGUGAAAGCAGGGGAUCUUCGGACCUUGCGCGAUUGAAUGAGCCGAUGUCGGAUUAGCUAGUUGGCGGGGUAAAGGCCCACCAAGGCGACGAUCCGUAGCUGGUCUGAGAGGAUGAUCAGCCACACUGGAACUGAGACACGGUCCAGACUCCUACGGGAGGCAGCAGUGGGGAAUAUUGGACAAUGGGCGCAAGCCUGAUCCAGCCAUACCGCGUGGGUGAAGAAGGCCCUCGGGUUGUAAAGCCCUUUUGUUGGGAAAGAAAAGCAGCAGGUUAAUACCCCGCUGUUCUGACGGUACCCAAAGAAUAAGCACCGGCUAACUUCGUG
rnacentral:rRNA from 1 species